GGGGAAUAUUGGACAAUGGGCGCAAGCCUGAUCCAGCAAUGCCGCGUGUGUGCAGAAGGUCUUCGGAUUGUAAAGCACUUUCGGCGGGGACGAUGAUGACGGUACCCGCAACAGAAGCCCCGGCUAACUUCGUGCCAGCCGCCGCGGUCAUACGCAGGGGGCGAGCGUUGCUCGGAAUGGCUGGGCGUAAAGGGCGCGUAGGUGGUGACGACAGCCAGGCGUGAAAUUCCUGGGCUCAACCUGGGGGCUGCGCUUGAUACGUGAUGACUAGAGUGUGGAAGAGGGGCAUGGAAUUCCCAGUGUAGAGGUGAAAUUCGUAGAUAUUGGGAAGAACACCGGUGGCGAAGGCGGCGCCCUGGUCCAUUACUGACGCUGAGGCGCGAAAGCGUGGGGAGCAAAC
rnacentral:rRNA from 1 species